GGGUCAAUGAUGAGAACUCAUAAGGUCUCGAAGACAGCUGAUGACCUAAAAAUUAUGCUCAAUAGGAUUACACUGAGGCCC
ensembl:snoRNA SNORD115 Small nucleolar RNA SNORD115